UCUUGUGAUCCUCAUGUACGGACCCUGC
rnacentral:piRNA from 1 species